UACGGAGGGUGCAAGCGUUGUCCGGAUUUAUUGGGUUUAAAGGGUGCGUAGGCGGCUGAUUAAGUCAGCGGUGAAAUUCCACAGCUCAACUGUGGAACUGCCAUUGAUACUGGUUAGCUUGAGUACAGAUGAGGUAGGCGGAAUUGACAGUGUAGCGGUGAAAUGCUUAGAUAUUGUCAAGAACACCUAUUGCGAAGGCAGCUCUCUGGGACGGUACUGACGCUGAGACGCGAAAGCGUGGGGAGCGAACAGG
rnacentral:rRNA from 1 species